rnacentral:rRNA from 1 species
AGAUUGAACGCUGGCGGCAGGCCUAACACAUGCGAGUCGAGCGGUAGAGAGGUGCUUGCACCUCUUGAGAGCGGCGGACGGGUGAGUAAUGCCUAGGAAUCUGCCUAGUGGUGGGGGAUAACGUUCGGAAACGGGCGCUAAUACCGCAUACGUCCUACGGGAGAAAGCGGGGGACCUUCGGGCCUCGCGCCAUUAG